CCUACGGGUGGCAGCAGUGGGGAAUAUUGGGCAAUGGGCGCAAGCCUGACCCAGCAACGCCGCGUGAAGGAAGAAGGCUUUCGGGUUGUAAACUUCUUUUAAGAGGGAAGAGCAGAAGACGGUACCUCUCGAAUAAGCCACGGCUAACUACGUGCCAGCAGCCGCGGUAAUACGUAGGUGGCACGCGUUGUCCGGAUUUACUGGGUGUAAAGGGCGUGUAGCCGGGCUGACAAGUCAGAUGUGAAAUCCCGUGGCUCAACCCCGGAACUGCAUUUGAAACUGUCGAUCUGGAGUAUCGGAGAGGCAGGCGGAAUGCCUAGUGUAGCGGUGAAAUGCGUAGAUAUUAGGAGGAACACCAGUGGCGAAGGCGGCCUGCUGGACGGCAACUGACGGUGAGGCGCGAAAGCGUGGGGAGCAAACAGGAUUAGAUACCCGAGUAGUC
rnacentral:rRNA from 1 species